AAGGCGCUUUCGGGUGUCGCUGAUGGAUGGACCCGCGGUGCAUUAGCUAGUUGGUGAGGUAACGGCUCACCAAGGCCACGAUGCAUAGCCGACCUGAGAGGGUGAUCGGCCACAUUGGGACUGAGACACGGCCCAAACUCCUACGGGAGGCAGCAGUAGGGAAUCUUCGGCAAUGGACGAAAGUCUGACCGAGCAACGCCGCGUGAAUGAAGAAGGUUUUCGGAUCGUAAAACUCUGUUGUUAGAGAAGGACAAGGAUGAGAGUAACUGUUCAUCCCUUGACGGUAUCUAACCAGAAAGCCACGGCUAACUACGUGCCAGCAGCCGCGGUAAUACGUAGGUGGCAAGCGUUGUCCGGAUUUAUUGGGCGUAAAGCGAGCGCAGGCGGUUUCUUAAGUCUGAUGUGAAAGCCCCCGGCUCAACCGGGGAGGGUCAUUGGAAACUGGGAGACUUGAGUGCAGAAGAGGAGAGUGGAAUUCCAUGUGUAGCGGUGAAAUGCGUAGAUAUAUGGAGGAACACCAGUGGCGAAGGCG
rnacentral:rRNA from 1 species